rnacentral:lncRNA from 1 species
UCUUACUGAAAUUUUAACCAAUUUAAAGAUAUUUCGAAUGCACUGUUAUUCUAAAUAAACUAUUUAUUAACUAACUGAUUUAUAUCCCCGUAUUUUCUAUAAGUCAAUAAUGUAGUAGCUGUAAGACGAAAAUGUAAGACAGACGAUAACACAGUAAAGCAGGACCUUUAAACGUCUAUAAAAUGUUGGUUGACUGUCUGGAAUGUGAACAAUUUAGCAAAAUAUUGAGUUUUAAGUAUUUUUUUGCGUCUUUAGUCACAUGAUACAUCUUACCCCCAACCCCCCUUUUCGAUCACGUGUCUGUGUUCAAGUUUCAGCUAAGUUUUUUUUCUCUGUUAGUCGAAACAAGUCACCGCCCAUUCUGUCAUCUCUAGGUUUUGAUUGGUUGUUGCGCUGAGCCCACUGCUCCAAUUGGCCGGGAGCUGUAGUCACUCAUGCUUGGUUCUGUUGUGGCCACGCCCCCUUCUCUAACCUGGUUUAGAGUAAUUGAUAUCUCUGAGCGAGAGAAGCGCUGGAAACUUAGCCGAGAGGAGAAACAGCUCGGAGGGUCGGUUCACAGGAGGACGGAGGGAAUGGACACCAAAACUCCACCGGAUAUUAGCUAGGCUUGCUGGCAGUAUGCUUGAUUUUUUGCAUGAAGUCCUCAGUCCUGAGUGUGUAGGAAGUUUGGAAAGGAUGAGGAAGAAGCGGGAGGAUUUGUGCUGCAGCUUUAUAAACUAGUUUUCUUAGUUAGGUUGGUAUUUAAAUGGUAAGUGUAACCGAGAAAGGUCAUGCCAGGUAAAGAAAGAAAAUAAAAGACAAAUCUUAAGAAAAGAGCAACAUUUGGAUAAGCUAGUGGCUAGUGCACUCUAGCAAAGCUUUAAAGUAUAUUGAAAGUGAAGCUGAAAAGAAGAAACAAGAAUGGAGUGCGGUGAAACUUUCCUGAGUGGAACGGGGGAACUGGAACUGGAUCCAGACAUCGUAAGCGAGGAGGCGGGAAAGCUGUACUCAGAACUCCAGUCUGUUAUUGACACUCAUGGCGCAGAUGUUGUGGAGUCGCUGCUGCCCAUCCUGGUGUGGGUACUGGAAGGACUGGCCAGCUCUCGGGCACAGUUGAGAGAGAGGGAAGAGUUGGCAGAAAAAGAGAAAGGAGCGCGAGAAGAGCUUCUGGAAAGAUAUGAGAGGGAGAGGACACUGAGGAGAGAGAGCCAGGAGGUGAGUGCUGAAUUUGUGGGCCCAGUCCCUUCCCCUGAAAUCUUAUCAUACACUACAUUGCAGG